GACGAACGCUGGCGGCGUGCUUAACACAUGCAAGUCGAACGGAAAGGCCCUGCUUUUGUGGGGUGCUCGAGUGGCGAACGGGUGAGUAACACGUGAGUAACCUUCCCUUGACUUUGGGAUAACUUCAGGAAACUGGUGCUAAUACCGGAUAGGAGCUCCUGCUGCAUGGUGGGGGUUGGAAAGUUUCGGCGGUUGGGGAUGGACUCGCGGCUUAUCAGCUUGUUGGUGGGGUAGUGGCUUACCAAGGCUUUGACGGGUAGCCGGCCUGAGAGGGUGACCGGCCACAUUGGGACUGAGAUACGGCCCAGACUCCUACGGGAGGCAGCAGUGGGGAAUAUUGCACAAUGGGCGGAAGCCUGAUGAAGAAGCGCCGCGUGCGGGAUGAAGGCCUUCGGGUUGUAAACCGCUUUAGCCUGUGACGAAGCGUGAGUGACGGUAAUGGGUAAAGAAGCACCGGCUAACUACGUG
rnacentral:rRNA from 1 species